rnacentral:rRNA from 1 species
GAUCAUGGCUCAGAUUGAACGCUGGCGGCAGGCUUAACACAUGCAAGUCGAGCGGGGAAGAGUAGCUUGCUACUUGACCUAGCGGCGGACGGGUGAGUAAUGCUUAGGAAUCUGCCUAUUAGUGGGGGACAACAUCUCGAAAGGGAUGCUAAUACCGCAUACGUCCUACGGGAGAAAGCAGGGGACCUCGGCCUGCGCUAUAGAUGAGCUAGUCGGAUAGCUAGUUGUGGG